rnacentral:lncRNA from 10 species
UAAAAUCAGCCUUUCUGGCCCAGUGAUUGUUUUCCUUCCCUCCUUCUACAUGCCUAAGUCUUUUCUCCACCUCUCCAGAUUCCCUCUUUCUCUGCUAGUGGAUGGCUAGGGAAGGUGGGCCGAGGGGUGAGGACUGGAGGGAAGGGUAGAUAGGGUAUGCUGAGAGCCUUUUUUAUUCCACAGGAAAGCAUGUACCUCAGGGCUCGGUGGGACUCAUGGUGGCAAUCAUUUACCAGGAAGACCCAUUCUCCAGUUGGUCACAGCUUGUUUUGUUCAAAUGAGCAUACAUUUACCGAGGGCUCACUAUGUGUCGGGCUUCGGGAUGGUACACAAAGAUAAGAAGACGUGGCUCCUGGCCUGGUGCAGUAUCUGGUCAGUGACUUGAGGGUUAUCUUCAGCCUCUUGGUACCCCUCUGUCUUCUUUUGGUAACUGUACUUUCAUUCUCUUUGGGAACUACCCCUCUCCUGUUCUGCACAGUCUUGGCCAGUGUGGCAAGCAAAGAGCCCUGGACACCAAGGGCUGGACACAUGUUGAGGCUUGGCCAGGUGGACUCUCUCAAGUGCUUUGACUCAUUAGCAGAGAGACAAAGAUGGAAGACGAAUGACACUGAGUUCAAGUAGACCUGAAGAAGCUGUUCGUUCACUCACCUCUGCUCCAGGGUCCCUGGCACAACCCUGAUUACUGAGAAUCUGUGAGUCAGAGGCAUCUGUAUCCUUCCAACAAUCUUAUUUAUUGAUUUAUUUAGGAGAGUCAUGUUUCAAUGCUUGUAGCAACCAACCCUACCUGGCAACAUGUUCUUCUGCAAGCCAGAGGUUACAGGAUUGGCAUGAAGGGAUGUCUGUUGAGCGGCGGUUGUAGGAGACAUUUCUUUGCCCCAAGGAAAAGCUAGAAAAUUUGAUCUCUUUCUUCUCCGGGAUCUGGUCAUGUGGACAUGUGACUCUGGGAUCUGUGAAGCCUUGUUGCUGCCAGUUGGAGGAUGAAGCCAACACUGAGGAGGCCGAGCAGGAUGAGGGAUCUAUCUCCUUGAUCCUGCCAUUGAGCCAUGGACCCACUGCCUUGAAGCUGCAUCUCUGGACUUUACACUGCGUGAAAUAAUACAUAUCUUUAAUGUUUAAGCCAUUUUAGUUGUGUUUUCUAUUACUUUAGCUAAAAGUACCAUUACUAAUACUGAUGUCUCUGCUUUCAGCGAUGCAUCCCAAAAGCAGUGGGAGGAUUAAAAAAAUAUUCUGUAAUCGCAAUGAAUUGGGGAAGGAAUUUUCUCCUCUUGUAAGAAAGAAUUACUUCCUAAAAAGUUUCUCAGAAGCCAUUUUUUGGAAUGUAACUCUAAAACCUUUCUUAAAAUAGAAACUAUCUACAUACCUGUAUUAUGCUUGAUAUGUUUGAUCUAUAGCUCUCGACUUUUUUUGAGACAGUGUCUUGCGAUGUUGCCCAGGUUGGAUUCAAACUCCUUGACUCAAGCAAUUCUCCCACCUCAGCCUACUGAGUAGCUGGGACUACAGGUGUCCACUCCCAUGCCUGGCCCUAUCUAUAUUUUUUGGAGAGGCGACACAUAAAGUUAGUAAGCAUAUCAUAAUUGGGGACAUAUCAACUCACAGAAAACAAACAUUUCAGGAUUGUGUUAGUCUGUUGGUGAAUUCUUCUCUUUUUCCUCCUCUUUUCCUCCUCCUUCCUCUCUUUCUUUAUCCAUACUUUCUACAUAAACAUUUUGGGAUAAAAUUUGAGAAGGAAUAUUUUAAAAUGUGAUUUGCAAGCUGGAUCAGUUUUAAGACCGAGUUUGCUAGCCCUUGAUUAUCUCCCUGUCCACAUCUUUUCCAUGCAUGCCAGCAGGGAAGGGGCAUGAAAGCAACGAAGGCCUUUUGAAGGGUGCUCCCAUCCACACCUAUUCUAUCCACACCUUUAUCUCAUGGCCAUUAAACCCCAGGCAUCCAUUCUGGACUCUGGUUCUUAGUGGAAGACGUUUCUUUCCUGCUAACCAUACAGAUUGGGCUUAGUGCAAUCUGGGGCUAUUUAUGUCUCCAUAUCCCAAGGCAAUGAUGAUAACUGAUAGCAUAGUGAAUCAAAGAAGCCAUGUUAGUGUGCUGUCCCACUGCUUGACAGCUGUCUGAGGGAUUCACUUAUAUACUCUCACUGCUGGAGCUUCAGCAAAGGUGACUCUGAAAUUGCAUGGUGAAAUUGAUCCUGGGCCAUUCAGUGAGGAGACUCACGCAUGUGGGAGGCUCAUCUCCCAACCAGUCUCCCACAGUCCUGUGUCCCACCCCUCCCCCCGCCCUCCAAUGCUCUCUUCACAUUGCAGACCCUCCUGGCACUCUUAAAAAUGAUUUUUGGUCAUGCCACUCUCUUUCGCUUAAAUACCUUUGUUAGCUCCCUGUCACUUAGGGAUAAAAUUUAAAUGUCUUUCCUUGGCAUCCCUGAGUGUUUUGAGCCUGGCUUACAAUUUAAAAAUUUUUUAGAAAAUCAAAUAAUACCUACCAUGGUUAAAAAAUAAAUAAAGAGGCUCAAAACAGUCCCUUGAUCCACCUUUCUCAUCAUCCUUUAUCCAUAGAGACCCUCACUUUUUUAUUUUUAAUUUUCGUGGGUACAUAGUAGGUAUAUAUAUUUAUGGGUUACAUGAGAUAUUUUGAUACAUGCAUGCAAUGUGUAAUAAUCACAUCAGGGUAAAUGGGGUAUCCAUCACCUCAAGCAUUUAUCCUUUAUGUUACAAACAAUCCAAUUAUGCUCUUUUAGUUAUUUUAAAAUGUACAGUUAUUUUUGACUAUAGUCACCCUAUUGUGCUAGCAAAUACUAGGUCUUAUUCAUUUUAUUUUUGGUACCCAUUAAGCAUUCCGCCUGUACCCCCAAAACCCACUACCCUUCCCAGCCUCUGGUAAACAUCCUUCACUCUUUAUCUCCAU